GGUUGUAUAGUGUAGCGGUUAGCACUUCGGAUUCUGAUUCACUAAUCAAGAGCCUUCCGGCAACCCCGGUUCGAUUCCGGGUACGACCU